rnacentral:rRNA from 1 species
CCUACGGGGGGCUGCAGUGGGGAAUAUUGGACAAUGGGGGGAACCCUGAUCCAGCCAUGCCGCGUGUGUGAAGAAGGCCCUCGGGUUGUAAAGCACUUUCAGUGAGGAAGAACGCCUGGUGGUUAAUACCCAUCAGGAAAGACAUCACUCACAGAAGAAGCACCGGCUAACUCCGUGCCAGCAGCCGCGGUAAUACGGAGGGUGCGAGCGUUAAUCGGAAUUACUGGGCGUAAAGCGCGCGUAGGUGGCUUGAUAAGCCGGUUGUGAAAGCCCCGGGCUCAACCUGGGAACGGCAUCCGGAACUGUCAAGCUAGAGUGCAGGAGAGGAAGGUAGAAUUCCCGGUGUAGCGGUGAAAUGCGUAGAGAUCGGGAGGAAUACCAGUGGCGAAGGCGGCCUUCUGGACUGACACUGACACUGAGGUGCGAAAGCGUGGGUAGCAAACAGGAUAGAUACCCGAGUAGUC